UGGUUCUGGCAUCGAUGAAGAACGCAGCGAAAUGCGAUAAGUAAUGUGAAUUGCAGAAUUCAGUGAAUCAUCGAAUCUUUGAACGCACAUUGCGCCCUUUGGCAUUCCGAAGGGCAUGCCCGUUCGAGCGUCAUUAAACCCCAUCAAGCCUGGCUUGGUAUUGAGCAAUAGGGCGUCCCUAUGCUUCAAUUUCACCGGCUGGCCGUCGCCCGUCUUAGCGUUGUGGCAUCAUUUGUCGCUAGCGAUGGGAGCGGACCACGCCGUCACAACUUGAUGAGUUUCAUCCGAAACUUUGAUUAAGGUUGACCUCGGAUCGGGUAGGAAUACCCGCUGA
rnacentral:misc_RNA from 1 species